AUCAUUACCGAGAGGGGGCUUCGUGCCUCANGGGGCUUCGCCGCCGCCAACUCUUCACCCAUUGUCUACAUACCUUUGUUGCUUUGGCGRGCCUUGGGGUCACUCCCGCGCCGGCGUGAGGCCUUAYCGCCUUGGCUUGCGAGCGCCCGUCAGAGGCCCAUYAAUAYCCGUUUUAUCAGUGACGUCYGAGURAAAACACAAUUAGUUAAAACUUUCAACAACGGAUCUCUUGGUUCCAGCAUCGAUGAAGAACGCAGCGAAAUGCGAUAAGUAAUGUGAAUUGCAGAAUUCAGUGAAUCAUCGAAUCUUUGAACGCACAUUGCGCCCCUUGGUAUUCCGGGGGGCAUGCCUGUUCGAGCGUCAUUGCACCCCUCAAGCGUAGCUUGGUAUUGGGCCCUCGCCCCCUGGGCGUGCCCGAAAAGCAUUGGCGGCCGGCGUAUACUUUAMGCGUAGUAAACUUCUCCCGCUUUGGAAGUCGCGUCCGGCCUGCCMGAYAACCCCCGUAACUUCAAUGAUUGACCUCAGAUCAAGUAGGGAUACCCGCUGAACUUUAGCAUAUCUAUAAGCGGA
rnacentral:rRNA from 1 species